rnacentral:sRNA from 1 species
AUCACUGUUUUCCUGAGAUUCUGCACUUA